rnacentral:rRNA from 1 species
AGUGAACGCUGGCGGUAGGCCUAACACAUGCAAGUCGAACGGCAGCACAGUAAGAGCUUGCUCUUACGGGUGGCGAGUGGCGGACGGGUGAGGAAUACAUCGGAAUCUACUUUUUCGUGGGGGAUAACGUAGGGAAACUUACGCUAAUACCGCAUACGACCUACGGGUGAAAGCAGAGGAGCUUCGGACCUUGCGCGAUUGAAUGAGCCGAUGUCGGAUUAGCUAGUUGGCGGGGUAAAGGCCCACCAAGGCGACGAUCCGUAGCUGGUCUGAGAGGAUGAUCAGCCACACUGGAACUGAGACACGGUCCAGACUCCUACGGGAGGCAGCAGUGGGGAAUAUUGGACAAUGGGCGCAAGCCUGACCCAGCCAUACCGCGUGGGUGAAGAAGGCCUUCGGGUCGUAAAGCCCUUUUGUUGGGAAAGAAAAGCAGCAGGUUAAUACGCCGCUGUUCUGACGGUACCCAAAGAAAAAGCACCGGCUAACUUCGUG